GGACUGUAGGCUGCAACUCGCCUACACGAAGUUGGAAUUGCUAGUAAUCGUGGAUCAGCAUGCCACGGUGAAUACGUUCCCGGGUCUUGUACACACCGCCCGUCACACCAUGGGAGCUGGUAACACCCGAAGUCAGUAGUCUAACCGCAAGGAGGACGCUGCCGAAGGUGGGAUUAGCGACUGGGGUGAAGUCGUAACAAGGUACC
rnacentral:rRNA from 1 species